GUUCAAGGAAAACAGCAAACUGCAAAUAUCCUCCUGGGUUGUCUGGUGUUGUUUUUACUUUCUGUACUCUGUCCAGCUGAGAAACUCUGUACAGUUUCUCCUGACCCCGUGUCUAUAAAAGAGAACAGCACUGUGGACGUUCUAGUAGCCAGAAUCACCUGUAGUGACGAUGUUCAGCUGACCGUCACGGAGAACCCUGCGGAGGCGUUCUACCUGCGGGGGACGGACCUCAUCGCCAAGAGAGGACUGGACUUUGAGUCUCUGCCCCGUGUGGAUGAUGCUCUGUGGGUCCGGGUGCGCUGCAACAGAACUGGCUCCAGAUCAGUGAACGUGUCUGUUGAAGUUUUCAUUGAAAACGUGAACGAUAAUCCUCCAAACUUCGCUCAGAGUCAUUACGUUCUCCAGGUGAA